rnacentral:rRNA from 1 species
AACGAACGCUGGCGGCAGGCCUAACACAUGCAAGUCGAGCGGACCCUUCGGGGUUAGCGGCGGACGGGUGAGUAACGCGUGGGAAUAUGCCCUUCUCUACGGAAUAGUCCUGGGAAACUGGGGGUAAUACCGUAUACGCCCUUUGGGGGAAAGAUUUAUCGGGGAAGGAUUAGCCCGCGUUGGAUUAGGUAGUUGGUUGGGUAAUGGCCUAACAAGCCGCCGAUCCAUAGCUGGUUGGGGAGGAUGGUCAGCCACACUGGGGAUGGGACACGGCCCAGAAUACUACGGGAGGGGAGAAUGGGGAAUCUUAAAAAAAGGGGGGCAACCCGAAUUAGCCAAGACGGGGAAGUGGUUAAAGGCUUGAGGUUGGAAAACCAGUUCAGAUGGGAAAAAAAUGAAGGUACCAAGAGAAGAAGCCCCGGCUAACUUCGUG